AUCGAGGUCUCCACCAUUGCGGGGUGAGGUGCUCUGGUGGCUUCGGUGUCCCCGGUAGCGCUCCGGCCAGUUCGGGUGCAGGCUGAUCACCGGCGUGGUCCCUGUCGGCGGUGUUCUGGCCGGCCCUUGCUGCCCCUGCACCUGUGCCGGCGCGAGGGUUACAUGGCGCUACCGGCAUACAGUCGAGUCCCUUUUCUGCAAGGUACACCAGCACUGGGUUUGGGGUACCGACUUCUCCUGUCACGGGGGUCAUGCCAAUGCUUAGAGUGCGACGGGUUUGCCAGCUUGGGCGCAGUCGCGGUCCCUGGACGAUAGGCCCAGGGGGGUUCCCUAGGUUGGGCACACUCCUACAGGUGUCUUUUCGCAGAGCUGCCAUGACGUGUCUCGUUUCCAUAUAGGAUGUGCAUUGCGGGGCCGGGUCGCGGAGUUGCACGCCGUGUAUAGCUGCACUAUCUGUUCCCACAUUGCUGUUGUCACAGCAUGUAUUGUUGUUGAUGAAAUCCUGUUGCCGCUGGUGGACAGAUCUUGUGCGUUUCCGUCCUGUGCAGGCUGGUUCUGCAGGGUGGCUCGGUGGCGCUGGUGGGUCACUCUCCAUGUCGUCUGGCUGGCAGAGGGGGCAGACAGAGGAGGGUAGCUCGGAGGGUGGGUCGGAUGCUGGUGAGGAAGAGGUCCUAGCCACUGGCGCUGGGGAGGAGUCCAGCUCGGAGGACACAGGCAAAUAUAGCGAAGCUAGCAGCAGCAACAGUGGCAGUGGCAGCAGUGGCAGUGGUGGAAGUGAGCAGUAACAUGGCAGCAGUGAUGAGUGCUUGGGGGUGCACACACCAGGUCGGCCCCAGGCAGGAUGGGACAGACCAAUCCCAAUAGGUGCCGGUACAUGUCAUACAUCGGGGGUUUCAUCCAUAGGAGUCAGCAGUAGGCACGAACUCUGCAAGUGGUGGUGAGACUUCUUGGAGAGCACUUGCUGUAUGGGGGGUGACAUGAACGCUGUUUUCGAGGACGAUGGUUUGGAUGAAUGCAUCAGGCUGUCAGGCUGGCUGGUUGGCGUUGUGAGUCCAAAGCGCCUUGGUCCACAAGCAUACUUAGACUUAGGCUACUUUGACAAGGGGUUCGCGUCCAUCUUGAGGCUUGCUGCAGUAUUCACCAAUCGUUAAUUUAACACGCAGUAAGCAUCACAUCACAGAGUAAUAUCUGCCCGUGUAACCCGUGAUAACUGGGUCUUCACCCGUAAUUUCGCGUGUAAUUGGUUACAUGCGCCCGUAAUUCACCUCCAGCACCGCGUAAUAUCCACCCGUAAUCACUGGGUCUUCACCCGUAAUUUUGCGUGUAAUCGGUUACAUGCGCCCGUAAUUCACCUCCAGCACCGCGUAAU
rnacentral:lncRNA from 1 species